ACGGGAGGCAGCAGUGAGGAAUAUUGGUCAAUGGUCGGAAGACUGAACCAGCCAUGCCGCGUGAAGGAUUAAGGCCCUAUGGGUCGUAAACUUCUUUUGUACGGGAGCAAUAAGGCUUACGUGUAGGCCGAUGAGAGUACCGUACGAAUAAGCAUCGGCUAACUCCGUGCCAGCAGCCGCGGUAAUACGGAGGAUGCAAGCGUUAUCCGGAUUUAUUGGGUUUAAAGGGUGCGCAGGCGGCCCGUUAAGUCAGCGGUGAAAUGUCGGGGCUCAACCCGGGCACUGCCGUUGAAACUGGGGGGCUUGAGUACGGAUGAGGUCGGCGGAAUGUGACGUGUAGCGGUGAAAUGCAUAGAUAUGUCACAGAACACCGAUUGCGAAGGCAGCCGGCCAAUCCGCAACUGACGCUCAUGCACGAAAGCGUGGGGAUCGAACAGGAUUAGAUACCCUGGUA
rnacentral:rRNA from 1 species